rnacentral:rRNA from 1 species
UCAGAUUGAACGCUGGCGGCAGGCCUAACACAUGCAAGUCGAGCGGUAACAUUUCUAGCUUGCUAGAAGAUGACGAGCGGCGGACGGGUGAGUAAUACUUGGGGAUCUGCCUGAUGGCGGGGGACAACCACUGGAAACGGUGGCUAAUACCGCAUAAUGCCUACGGGCCAAAGUGUGGGACCUUCGGGCCACAUGCCAUCAGAUGAACCCAAGCGAGAUUAGCUAGUUGGUGAGGUAACGGCUCACCAAGGCGACGAUCUCUAGCUGGUCUGAGAGGAUGAUCAGCCACACUGGGACUGAGACACGGCCCAGACUCCUACGGGAGGCAGCAGUGGGGAAUAUUGGACAAUGGGCGCAAGCCUGAUCCAGCCAUGCCGCGUGUGUGAAGAAGGCCUUCGGGUUGUAAAGCACUUUCAGUGGUGAGGAAGGCGUUGUAGUUAAUAGCUGCAACGAUUGACGUUAGCCACAGAAGAAGCACCGGCUAACUCCGUGCCAGCAGCCGCGGUAAUACGGAGGGUGCGAGCGUUAAUCGGAAUUACUGGGCGUAAAGCGCACGUAGGCGGUUUGUUAAGCAAGAUGUGAAAGCCCAGGGCUCAACCUUGGAAUUGCAUUUUGAACUGGCAAGCUAGAGUUUUGAAGAGGGUGGUAGAAUUUCCAGUGUAGCGGUGAAAUGCGUAGAU